rnacentral:lncRNA from 10 species
UUAGAUGUCAAAUGGAAAAAUAAUUGCACAAUAACUGUCAUUAUUAAUUUAAGAUAGUGAACUGCAUUUAGUAAUUCUCAUUAUCCAGUGUCUUCUUUACUGUUUUAUUUUAGUGAAGAGAAAUAAUAUGAGAAACAGCUUUUAUAACUUCUUCCAUGACUUUAUCCCCUAUGUUUUCCCCAUGAGAUCUCAACUCUACUAGUUCUUCUGCCUUGAGGGUAGCUUCCAGACUUGUUUGGUUUCUUCCUGUAGCCAGGCUGUGGCUGAGAAACAGCUAUGGCUUUUGCGCUUCAUAUCCCUCCAGAUGGAUGAAUCACACAAGCAGAUGGUAUCAUUCUGGAAAAGGCUCCAGUGUGAACAGGCCCAUUGUUCAUUUGGGUCCUGCUUACAGCAACAGGCAGAUAUGACAACCAAGCAACCUGGGAGGUAAAAUGAGAGGCCUUUAGCCCUCAGUUCCAUACAAUUGAUCUCUCCUUCCUCGACUCAGUGCAGACAAGAAGGAUGACAGAAAAGAGAGUUGAUUCUGAGCUAAAAGUCUAAUUUUGGCCUUUCUGUUUUUUCUAUGGUCUGAAAUGGCUUCUUAUACCUAAACCCUGAACCUAGUUUUUUUAUUUUUUUAUUUUUUAGGAUUAUUUUCCCUGUUCUCUUUGACCAUUAUUCACCUCUGUCACUAGCAGUUUCCUUUGCUGAGCCUCCUUUUCCUCUUUUCUGUACAAAAGCCAAGGCUAUUAUAUGAAAUCUUAAAAGAUCCAGUAUGGGGAUUUAAUACAGCAAUUGUUUAAAUGCAGCAACAGUAAUUUGGGUCAGGCUUGUUGCUUUCUGAUAGUCUGAAUUAAUGUUGAGAUGGAGCUAGGUGAACCUGGGGAGAGGGAUAAUUGAUAUGUCCUUUAAAUGAGUGUUUUCCAACCACUUUUACCCAGCGUUUGUAACACUUAUGCUGUAGCACACAUAGAGCACAGACAGGGUUGCGCUUCACUCUGUUGAGAAUUGCUGCCUUUCACAUUUAGAUAUUGUUCAAUCAAGUUUAGCCUAAAGCUGCCUCCUUCCAUAUUUUAAGUUUGGCCUAAAAGUUUCUCCAUAUACAGUGAACUCUAACCUAAAUGGGUGUGUAAACAGACUAUAACCUACUCUUGAGCCAGUCACCAAGUUUUGGCCAAUCAAAAGGGUCCAACUGUUCAAAUGGUGUUCAAAUAAGGCAGACCCUGAGCUGUGACCAAUCUGGCUAUUUCUGUACCUCACUUCCACUUUCUGUACAUUUUUCCUUUUCCUGUCCAUAAAUCUUCUUCCACCAUGUGGCUGUGCUGGAGUCUCUGAAUCUACUCUGGCUCAGGAGGCUGCUUGAUUUGUGAAUCAUUCUUUACUCAAUUAAACUCUGUUAAAUUUAAUUUGGCUAAGAAUUUUCUUUUAACAGAUGACAUCAGAAGUGGGAUCUGAAGUAGAGCUUCCAGUGACCCCCAGGAAUGCUGCGUGACUAAUCGAGGUAAACUAUUAAGAAGGUGCCUUGCUUGACCUUUGCCAUCUGCCAUGAUUGUAAGUUUCCUGAGGCCUCCCUAGCCAUGCUGAACUGUGAGUCAAUUAAACCUCUUUCCUUUAUUUAUUUAUUUUUUUUGUGUUUCACACAGACCUUAUUUGUUAAGCAGAGUUUAUUGUAUUUAAUCCAUUAUAAAAUUUGAAAAAUUGUAGGAAAGCAGCAGACUUGAAUUGAGCAAUUCUAACAAGGAAUAAUUCUGGCCCCAUGGCAAAACUGAUCAGUUUUAAAACAAAGUAAAGUUCACAUCGGUUAGGGGGACAAAAAAAUGACACUGCUGUACAAACUUCAUUUAAAAUUACAUGUCUAACAUGUUUGAAAUGCAGUGUGCUCAUGAGGGUUUUUCUGAAGUCUUGCCUGGUCUCUGCUUAAAGAGAGACACGGAGCCUCCAUAUACAAAGAAACUCGAUUCAAGGUGUGUCUGUGUUUUUUUUAAAAAAGGAAAAAGACAAAGGAAAAAGAGAUAAUGGAUGGCUGUUGGCA